rnacentral:lncRNA from 1 species
AACGGAUUUGCGGAUUUGCAUGGGUAGAGAAUAGGAGCCUGUGUAUAAAUGGAACACCGUGGAUUUGGCAUCUUCUAGAAGAAUGUGUUGAGAAUGCGUGGGAGUACUGCAGCGUUGUCAUAGGACUGAUUUCCAUUGUCUGUUUUCUGUUUGCUGCACUACCGUAAGUUUAAAGUCUUUGGCAGUCCUCAGAUUGAAACAUGAGUAAUCUUGCCCGAAGCCUUUCUCACAAGCUGC